rnacentral:rRNA from 1 species
AAACCAGCACCUCAAGUGGUCAGGAUGAUUAUUGGGCCUAAAGCAUCCGUAGCCGGCUCAGUAAGUUUUCGGUUAAAUCUGUACGCUUACCGUACAGGCUGCCGGGAAUACUGCAGAGCUAGGGAGUGGGAGAGGUAGACGGUACUCGGGAGGAAGUGGUAAAAUGCUUUGAUCUCUCGAUGACCACCUGUGGCGAAGGCGGUCUACCAGAACACGUCCGACGGUGAGGGAUGAAAGCUGGGGGAGCAAACCGGAUUAGAAACCCGGGUAGUCC